UACCUAAAAUCGUAAUAUAUUAUACAGAAUUAGGCCAAUACAAUAUUGAUUAGAAAAGGUACCCUUAAUUUAAUAAUUUUGAUGAUCAAUAGUUGAGUUUUUAGAAACAAUUGAAUACAUAGUUUGAAGAGUAGUUCAAUAGUUUUCACUCGGUAGUGCCCAUUACUACACAGUACCCCUGUUAUGUGCCAUUUCUCUAUAAAAUUGGUAU